rnacentral:rRNA from 1 species
UACAGAGGUCUCAAGCGUUGUUCGGAUUUAUUGGGCGUAAAGGGCGCGUAGGCGGCGGGGUAAGUCGGGUGUGAAAUCUCAGGGCUCAACCCUGGAAUGCCGGUGGAAACUGUCGAGCUAGAGUCCGGAAGAGGCGAGUGGAAUUCCUGGUGUAGCGGUGAAAUGCGCAGAUAUCAGGAGGAACACCAGUGGCGAAGGCGGUCAACUGGCCCAUAACUGACGCUCAGGCACGAAAGCGUGGGGAGCAAACAGG